GGCAAGGUAGCCAACGAGGUGACGGCGCGUGUCUGAAAAACAUGAGAUGGCGGUUCGACUCCGCCCCUUGCCACCA
rnacentral:tRNA from 1 species